rnacentral:rRNA from 1 species
UACGUAGGGACCGAGCGUUGUCCGGACUCAUUGGGCGUAAAGAGCGUGUAGGCGGCUUGCUAAGUCUUGCGUGAAAUCUCGGGGCUCAACCCCGAGCGGUCGUGGGAAACUGGCAGGCUAGAGUGCGGAAGAGGCGAGUGGAAUUCCUGGUGUAGCGGUGAAAUGCGCAGAUAUCAGGAAGAACACCCGUGGCGAAGGCGGCUCUCUGGGACGGUACUGACGCUGAGACGCGAAAGCGUGGGGAGCGAACAGG